AAAUUGAAGAGUUUGAUCAUGGCUCAGAUUGAACGCUGGCGGCAGGCCUAACACAUGCAAGUCGAACGGUAACAGGAAGCAGCUUGCUGCUUCGCUGACGAGUGGCGGACGGGUGAGUAAUGUCUGGGAAACUGCCUGAUGGAGGGGGAUAACUACUGGAAACGGUAGCUAAUACCGCAUAAUGUCGCAAGACCAAAGAGGGGGACCUUCGGGCCUCUUGCCAUCGGAUGUGCCCAGAUGGGAUUAGCUUGUUGGUGGGGUAACGGCUCACCAAGGCGACGAUCCCUAGCUGGUCUGAGAGGAUGACCAGCCACACUGGAACUGAGACACGGUCCAGACUCCUACGGGAGGCAGCAGUGGGGAAUAUUGCACAAUGGGCGCAAGCCUGAUGCAGCCAUGCCGCGUGUAUGAAGAAGGCCUUCGGGUUGUAAAGUACUUUCAGCGGGGAGGAAGGGAGUAAAGUUAAUACCUUUGCUCAUUGACGUUAUCCGCAGAAGAAGCACCGGCUAACUCCGUGCCAGCAGCCGCGGUAAUACGGAGGGUGCAAGCGUUAAUCGGAAUUACUGGGCGUAAAGCGCACGCAGGCGGUUUGUUAAGUCAGAUGUGAAAUCCCCGGGCUCAACCUGGGAACUGCAUCUGAUACUGGCAAGCUUGAGUCUCGUAGAGGGGGGUAGAAUUCCAGGUGUAGCGGUGAAAUGCGUAGAGAUCUGGAGGAAUACCGGUGGCGAAGGCGGCCCCCUGGACGAAGACUGACGCUCAGGUGCGAAAGCGUGGGGAGCAAACAGGAUUAGAUACCCUGGUAGUCCACGCCGUAAACGAUGUCGACUUGGAGGUUGUGCCCUUGAGGCGUGGCUUCCGGAGCUAACGCGUUAAGUCGACCGCCUGGGGAGUACGGCCGCAAGGUUAAAACUCAAAUGAAUUGACGGGGGCCCGCACAAGCGGUGGAGCAUGUGGUUUAAUUCGAUGCAACGCGAAGAACCUUACCUGGUCUUGACAUCCACGGAAGUUUUCAGAGAUGAGAAUGUGCCUUCGGGAACCGUGAGACAGGUGCUGCAUGGCUGUCGUCAGCUCGUGUUGUGAAAUGUUGGGUUAAGUCCCGCAACGAGCGCAACCCUUAUCCUUUGUUGCCAGCGGUCCGGCCGGGAACUCAAAGGAGACUGCCAGUGAUAAACUGGAGGAAGGUGGGGAUGACGUCAAGUCAUCAUGGCCCUUACGACCAGGGCUACACACGUGCUACAAUGGCGCAUACAAAGAGAAGCGACCUCGCGAGAGCAAGCGGACCUCAUAAAGUGCGUCGUAGUCCGGAUUGGAGUCUGCAACUCGACUCCAUGAAGUCGGAAUCGCUAGUAAUCGUGGAUCAGAAUGCCACGGUGAAUACGUUCCCGGGCCUUGUACACACCGCCCGUCACACCAUGGGAGUGGGUUGCAAAAGAAGUAGGUAGCUUAACCUUCGGGAGGGCGCUUACCACUUUGUGAUUCAUGACUGGGGUGAAGUCGUAACAAGGUAACCGUAGGGGGAACCUGCGGUUGGAUCACCUCCUUA
rnacentral:rRNA from 1 species